AUUGAACGCUGGCGGCAGGCCUAACACAUGCAAGUCGAACGAGUGGCGGACGUGUGAGUAAUGUCUGGGAAACUGCCUGAUGGAGGGGGAUAACUACUGGAAACGGUAGCUAAUACCGCAUAACAUCAGGUGUGCCCAGAGGGGAUGAGAUAGGUGGUGGGGGAAAGGCUCACCAAGGCGACGAUCCCUAGCGGGUCUGAGAGGAUGACCAGCCACACUGGAACUGAGACACGGUCCAGACUCCUACGGGAGGCAACAGUGGGGAAUAUUGCACAAUGGGCGCAAGCCUGAUGCAGCCAUGCCGCGUGUAUGAAGAAGGCCUUCGGGUUGUAAAGUACUUUCAGCGGGGAGGCGUUACCCGCAGAAGAAGCACCGGCUAACUCCGUGCCAGCAGCCGCGGUAAUUC
rnacentral:rRNA from 1 species